GCUUAACUGUGUGGAUGGUGUUCAGCACCAAGGACAGAUGUGUGCGUGUGGAUUAUGUUCAGUACCAAGGGCAGUCACGUUUGCCU
rnacentral:pre_miRNA from 1 species